rnacentral:piRNA from 1 species
UGGCCUCUCACAUGCCAAGCC